AGUGAACGCUGGCGGCGUGCUUAACACAUGCAAGUCGAACGAGAACGGGUUAUAGCUUGCUAUAAUUGUCAGCUAAGUGGCGCACGGGUGAGUAAUGUAUAGGUAAUAUGCCUCUUACUAAGGGAUAACAAAUGGAAACGUUUGAUACUACCUUAUACUCCUUAUUAACAGAAGUUAAUAAGGGAAAGAUUUAUUGGUAAGAGAUUAGCCUGUAUUGUAUCAGUUAGUUGGUGAGGUAAUGGCUUACCAAGACUAUGAAACAUAACUGGUUUGAGAGGAUGAUCAGUCACACUGGAACUGAGACACGGUCCAGACUCCUACGGGAGGCAGCAGUGGGGAAUAUUGCACAAUGGACGAAAGUCUGAUGCAGCAACGCCGCGUGGAGGAUGACACAUUUCGGUGCGUAAACUCCUUUUAUAUGAGAAGAUAAUGACGGUAUUAUAUGAAUAAGCACCGGCUAACUCCGUGCCAGCAGCCGCAGUAA
rnacentral:rRNA from 1 species